rnacentral:rRNA from 1 species
UGAAUUUCGGGSUUAUGGGUUUGGUCAUGCCUCAGGUAUGUACUGGUCACCGCGCUUGACACUUCUUGAAGAACUGUAAUGUCAUUAAUUUGGUGUUGCAGGGAAACAGGACUGUUACUUUGAAAAAAUUAGAGUGUUUAAAGCAGGCUAACGCUUGAAUACAUUAGCAUGGAAUAAUGAAAUAGGACGUUUGACCCUAUUUUGUUGGUUUCUAGGAUCGACGUAAUGAUUAAUAGGGAUAGUUGGGGGCAUUAGUAUUCAAUUGUCAGAGGUGAAAUUCUUGGAUUUAUUGAAGACUGACUACUGCGAAAGCAUUUGCCAAGGAUGUUUUCAUUAAUCAAGAACGAAAGUUAGGGGAUCGAAGACGAUCAGAUACC